AACGCUAGCUACAGGCUUAACACAUGCAAGUCGAGGGGCAUCAGGGUAGCAAUACCGCUGGCGACCGGCGCACGGGUGAGUAACACGUAUCCAACCUACCGUUAACUCGGGGAUAGCCUUUCGAAAGAAAGAUUAAUACCCAAUAGUAUAUUUUCUUCGCAUGUUGAAAAUAUUAAAGAAUUUCGGUUAUCGAUGGGGAUGCGUUCCAUUAGGCAGUUGGCGGGGUAACGGCCCACCAAACCUACGAUGGAUAGGGGUUCUGAGAGGAAGGUCCCCCACAUUGGAACUGAGACACGGUCCAAACUCCUACGGGAGGCAGCAGUGAGGAAUAUUGGUCAAUGGACGAAGGUCUGAACCAGCCAAGUAGCGUGAAGGAUGACUGCCCUAUGGGUUGUAAACUUCUUUUAUAUGGGAAUAAAGUUCUCCACGUGUGGAGUUUUGUAUGUACCAUUAUGAAUAAGCAUCGGCUAACUCCGUGCCAGCAGCCGCGGUAAUACGGAGGAUGCGAGCGUUAUCCGGAUUUAUUGGGCUUAAGGGGAGCGUAGGUGGACUGGUAAGUCAGUUGUGAAAGUUUGCGGCUCAACCGUAAAAUUGCAGUUGAUACUGUCAGUCUUGAGUACAGUAGAGGUGGGCGGAAUUCGUGGUGUAGCGGUGAAAUGCUUAGAUAUCACGAAGAACUCCGAUUG
rnacentral:rRNA from 1 species